CACUUUUGAAGGCAGAAAUUUAAGGCAUUUUACCGCUGUUUUAAAUUCUUGGUGUGUUGGCAUUUCAGCUCCUCGUGAUUCGUGUUAUUUUCAACCAAAAGACCUCUCUCUCUCACGCACAGAGACAGACCAGUUACAAUACAGAAUACAGAUGGGAGUGAACCCUGUUGCUCUCCAAACAACACAAAAAUAAAAGAGGAAAAGUGAAUAAAGAGUCUGUCUCACUCUGAAAAUCCCUUUGAACAAAAUGCUGUUUUCCUACUUCCAACUCACUGCUCAGUGCUGUGCUGCAUUUCCCCCCUCCCUCUCUCCCUCUGUGAACCAAACACCCCUUACGCUAUUUGGGAUUUUCUUCAAACUAGUGUCUUUGCUCAUGCCGGCAGUGGCACCACAUUUUCACGGAGCAUGGCCUCUCCUCCCAAAAGGUCUCGAAACAGCUGAGCAGAUGCUCACUUCAGAGAUCUGGAGGAGCAGAUCGCUACAUUCGGGUGUUUAGUGAAGAUGUAGAUUGAGAAAUUCAUAAUAUCUAAGGUAGGGAAUGAAGCCUUUGGUCCGCAAAAUGCACAACAAAUAUUGUAAACAUGUUGAUAAUUCUAAUAGUGUGAUUCGAAUGAAACGAAUCAUCUUUCAUGUCUGAGAUUUCUGCUAUUCUAAAAUUUUCCGUUUUUUCAACUCUCACAUUUGUUGUAUCAUUAUCAUAUAUGUACUUCACUUGCUUGAUUCGCA